rnacentral:lncRNA from 1 species
AGAUUGGCGGCAGGUAGGCGCUGUCACUCAGCGGCGGGGCCGCCGCGCGGGGGCGGGCGGAGCCGAGCGGACAAAGCGGCCCCGGGCGUUGGGGCACGUGCGGCGGGUGGCGGCUCCUCCGCGCCCUCCUCUCCCUCCUUCCCUUCCCUCUCCUCCCGUUUUUGCUCCGGUGCGGGAAGUAACUUGUUCCGCUGCGGCGCCGUUUCCCCCCCCGCGUCUCCCGGUGCGCGGCUCCCGUUGGCGGUGCGUAGCGGCGGGGGGGCGGGAGGCGCCCCCCCCCCCCCCUCCAUUCCUUCCCUUCCCCCUCCCCCGGUCAUUGCAGCGCUGUGCGGCCGCGCGGUGCUCGUAGCGCCGGGGCCGUUCCCCGCGGGGCCGCGUUGCGCUCCGGCUGGGCGCGGAUCCUCACGGUUCGUGCCGGUCGUUGCAGCCCUGGGCCCCCCGAAAUCCCUCCGGCGGUUCCCGUGCCCCAACUCGGCCCGUUGCAGCCCCCCCGCCUCGUGCGAUGCUCCCCGGCUGCUCGCGGUCCCGGCAGCCCGCUGCGAUCUUCCCCCGGCCCCUUGCUGUCCCCCACAGGGGCUGCGUUGCCCCCCAUCCCGUUGCCCCCCAUCCCGUUGCAUCGCGCUCCAGCCGCGUGCAGUUGCCGUACCCCGUUGCAGUCCUCCUGUUCUUUGCGGUGCAUCCCAGCAGCCUGCAGCCCGGUCGGCCCGUUGCAAUGCGCCCCGGCUGCUCGCAAUACCACUAUGGUACACCCCGGCUGCACGCAGCCCCAUUGCGGUGCAUCCCAUCAGUCUGCAGUCGCCCAAAGCCGUUUCAGUCCUUCCUGGCCCAUUGCAAUGCUCCCCAGUCACUUGCAGUUCCUCUGACCCAUUGCAAUCCCGUCUUUUGCCGUGCACUCAGCAUCUUGCAGUCCCCCAGUCCUUUGCAAUGCAUCCGUGCUGCUUGCAACUCCCCCUGCCCCGUCCCGUUGCAAUGCACUCCAGCUGCAUGCAGGCACCCCAACCCACUGGAAUCCCCCCUGGCCCGUUGCAACCCUUCAGCUCUUUGCAACAUACUCCAGCUGCUCGCCGUUCCCUGAACCCAUUGCAAUGCCUCCAUCCCAUUGCAGUGCACUUGGGGUGCACCCUUGGAGUAACACACAGAGCUGUGGAGCACCACUCCAAAAGCACCACCCUGCCCAGUGCCGGGACCCCUGGCCGACCACCAGCCCAGGGCUGA